rnacentral:piRNA from 1 species
UGAGGUCAGAGUCCAGGGUCAGUCCAUGUU